rnacentral:rRNA from 1 species
AUUGAACGCUGGCGGCGUGCCUAACACAUGCAAGUCGAGCGGUAACAGGUGUAGCAAUACAUGCUGACGAGCGGCGAACGGGUGAGUAAUGCUUCGGAAUCUGCCCAUGUAGUGGGGAAUAACCAGCCGAAAGGUUGGCUAAUACCGCAUACGACCCUUGCCCACAAGGCAAAGGUGAAAGCAGGGGAUCGCAAGACCUUGCGCUAUUGGAUGAGCCGAAGUCGGAUUAGCUAGUUGGUAGGGUAACGGCCUACCAAGGCGACGAUCCGUAGCUGGUCUGAGAGGACGACCAGCCACACUGGGACUGAGACACGGCCCAGACUCCUACGGGAGGCAGCAGUGGGGAAUAUUGGAC